rnacentral:rRNA from 1 species
UACGGCGGGGGCUAGCGUUGUUCAGAUUUACUGGGCGUAAAGGGCGCGUAGGCGGACCAUCAAGUCAGGGGUGAAAGGCCUGGGCUCAACCCGGGAAUUGCCUUUGAAACUGAAGGUCUAGAGUGCGAGAGAGGUUAGCGGAAUUCCCAGUGUAGAGGUGAAAUUCGUAGAUAUUGGGAAGAACACCAGUGGCGAAGGCGGCUAUCUGGCUCGGUACUGACGGUGAGGCGCGAAAGCGUGGGGAGCAAACAGG